rnacentral:pre_miRNA from 1 species
AAAGUACUCCCUCCAUCCCAAAAUUCUUGUCUUAGAUUUUUCUAGAUACGGAUGUAUCAAGUCACAUUUUAGUAUUAGAUACAUCCGUAUCUAGACAAAUCUAAGACAAGAAAUUUUGGACAGAGGGAGUAGUUG